rnacentral:rRNA from 1 species
AGCGAACGCUGGCGGCAGGCUUAACACAUGCAAGUCGAACGCCCCGCAAGGGGAGUGGCAGACGGGUGAGUAACACGUGGGAACGUACCCUUUGGUUCGGAAUAACUUGGGGAAACUCAAGCUAAUACCGGAUAAGCCCUUAUGGGGAAAGGUUUACUGCCGAAGGAUCGGCCCGCGUCUGAUUAGCUAGUUGGUGAGGUAAUGGCUCCCCAAGGCGACGAUCAGUAGCUGGUCUGAGAGGAUGGUCAGCCACACUGGGACUGAGACACCGCCCAGAUGCCUGCGGGAGGCAGCAGGGGGGGAGAUUGGACAAUGGGCGCAACCCUGUGCCAGCCAUGCCGGGUGAGUGAUGAAGGCCUUAGGGUUGUAAAGCUCUUUUACCCGGGACGAUAAUGACUGUACCGGGAGAAUAAGCCCCGGCUAACUUCGUGCAAGCCGCCGCGGUAA